AAAUAAAAACCACAUUUAAAACUUGAAUUAAUUGAAAUAAAAAUUACAUUCAAAUUCAUAAAAACUAUCAAAUACCAAAUAGUGUGAUGCGCUAAAAAUUUCAAUCACUUGAAACUUCCAACAAAUAGCAUCACAAAAUAUAUGGUGAAUCAAAUCCGUAUACAACAUCUAAUAAAUCCUUUACAAUAUCCAAUCACCAACACAUCACUAGAAAAACAAUUAAUCCAUAAAAAAAACACACUUAGUAAAUUCCCAAAAGCCACCAACAUCACCUGAAACAUAGGUUACAAUAAAAUGAGUGCCAAAAAAAUACAUAUUAAUAUAUUGCCCACUUACAAUUAAUCAAAUUCAUAAUAAAAUUCAUCAGUGUCUAAUUGAUUUAAUCAGCUUUGAUACUAAAGGGAAAAUGAGAAUAAACAACCCAAGAGAAAAUAAAAAAUCACAUUCGACAAUUGACAUAAUGAAGCAGUAAGCUCACAAGCUGUAAAAGAGAAAAAUGGAAGAAAAUAAAAAUGAUGAUAAAGCAGUAUAACCUGAAUGCUUAUGUAGCAGUGACAGUUGACUAGGUCUUCAUAAGAGUUGCUGGAUUAUAAAAGAUUAAGUAUAAACAAAAUAUUUUGCAACAGAGUACAUAGUAAAGAGAAAUAUAAAACCAAGUGCAAUGCCAAAGACGAGAAGAGAACGUUUAGUCUAGCCUUCUACAGAUUUCAACUCUAAAUUUCUAGAUGAAUUUUUUUAAAGAGUAUUUUUUCAAGACUAUAAUUUACUUAAUGCACAACAUCUAACCUUCCAUAUAUAAUUAAAUAAAAUCCAUCAAAAUCAAGCUAAUAAAAAGAAAGGAAAAAGUUCUAAAAAUCCGAAAGAUAAAGAGAAAAUGUAGAAAAUUCUGGAAUCACCAGAAUCUCCUCAAUCUACCAACUUUAAUACCAUGAUUGUAGGCUUGCCAGUCUAAGCCCAAAGCGUAAAGCAUAAUCUAAAGUUUCCAGUGGGUGAAGAAAUGAUGAUCUCUCAAUCAAUUCAAAAGGCAAAGACAUUGUCGAGCGCAUAAAUUGUUAGCUUCUCUUCUACCACAUCAGAUCCUUGAUGCAAAAUUCAACGGGCAAGUAAAUGGACACAUUGAGAUAAAUAUUGGUCAAUUUAAGAAUUGAAAAUGGUGGAAAGAAGUUUAAAUAUUAGGACAGUCCAGACUAGGGGUUAACAUGAUAAUGAAAAAUUAUAAAUCUCAUGAGUUAUAUAUAUACAAAAACCAAAAAAAGAUAGAUAGGCUGGAAUCUCUUGGUUCUUAGGAGCAAAAGUAUCAUUAUUUAUGGACCAGCUGUUUCAAUUUUUCCAAAAUUACAUCUUCAAUUUAGCUUUGCAAGACCAUUCUUUGCCCGGCUAGUUUACCUAGUCACCAACUCUGAUUGUCCAUUUAGGAUUGAAUCUAUAUACUCUUAUAUAAUGUCUCUUCUGGAGGAAAUAAGCAGAAAAAAUAUUCUAACUAGAUGAGACCCUUUAGUGUGAUGAUGCUAUGCAAUGGAUGCUUUAAAUGCAUCCAAUUUAAUUUAUGAUGCUAAAGGACCACCGAGUACUGAGGACUAGUAAGUGCAACAUGGACCACAAACCAAAACAUUUCCAAUUAACAUAGCACAAUAUGUGACAAAUCAAAUUGAAAAAAAAAAAUCUUCCAAAAAGUUCAACAUGUCAAUUAAGAGAAAAAUCAUAGGAUGCACAUUAAUACAUCCAUAAACAGCCUAGUUUCUCUAUCAACAAGUUAGCCAUAAGCACGAGUCAAAAUAAAUCAUUUGACUGAAAUGGUAGAAGACCAAGCAAAUAAAUGCAAGUACCACCACACAAAGCAUUUGCAUUUCCAAAAGUGAAUUUCAUAAAGUUUUUGCAGAAGAUAUCUUUCUAAUAAAACAAAAAAACACAAGUACUAGUCAAUUGUAAUGGGUUUGAGAACCACAUAUACCUCUAAAUUUGAUUAAAACCUUGAAGUCACAGAGGAAAUUAUUCAGUGUGUUAACAACAUUGAUAUUCAGCAAGGCUUUGUGCAUGAGAUUCAGCUUGUGCAGCUUGGGCAGUGACCUAUGCUAGGGCGUGCUAGUGCUUCAUUCUAAAGGCUCCCUAGGUUGCAUCCAAUGAAUCAGGGAAAUUAGUAAUAGAUAAAUGCAAAAUUUGGAUACCCAAGUAACAUAAUGCCAGUGAGGCAUGACAUACAAAGCAAUAUAGACAAUACAAGUUAUCACUCACUCAUUCAAGCUCCGGUCAUCAAAUUAUAACUAGAAGCUAAUACUCUUUCAUUCUUGGUUGCUAAUAAAGUUGUGACUAGAUUGGAGAAUUUCUCACAUAUUUGGCUUAAAGCUACAUAAAGAUCUCUAUAUCUUAGAUAUGGGAGUUAAAAGUGUUCACAGUUUACAUGAAGACAAUUGGAUCUCCAACACUAGUAAUACCAAAAGCUUUUCUUUAGUUAAUUGUUUGCAUUAACCAUAUGCUUCAUCUAAAAAGAGAUGAAACUAAAAUCAGGAAAGAAAAAUGCCCGAUUACCAUUAAAACUUGACCUGGAUAGCCUACUAUCCAGUCCAUUUGGAUAUUUAGAAUACCAAAACAAGAUGAGAUUAUCUCACCAAUGCACAAUCACAUUACAACAUUACUCAAAAUGUUCUUCUUUCAGAUUAAUUAAGUCAAGAGUUUUUUAUCCCAAUUACAGGGCACAUUUAUAAAUUCUAUAGUAAAUGCUUCAGCAAGCUCUAAUUCAAAAUUCCAACCGACUGCUAACAAAUCAAGGCAAUGAAGAAAAUUCUCCAUCCCUCCAAAAAAAAAAAUCAAAAUUCAAAUCCAAGGAUUAUUAGAAUUUAAAUGCGAAACCCAAUAAAAAUGAAAGCUUUCCUAAACAAGCUAAAAUCUAAUGAAUAAAUGAAGAAACUUUAGGUCAGACAAAGUUAAAUUGAAUUACCAGUGUAGGCGAAAACAAACUGAAAUUUAGCGAGUCAAGCAGAAUUGCGGGGCUCAACCUGGGCGGCACCUCAAAAAUCGACGGCGGUUGAGCAAUCACCAGACCAGCCGAUAUAUUCUGAUCAGAGAACCCCAAACCCUAGUGUACAAAUGAAGGACCCCAUUAGCUUACCUCUCACAAAAGAAGACAGUAGUAGCAACUCGAACUUGAAGAAAAUCUAAAUUAAGAAGACAUUAGCUAUAGCUCAGAGUUGAAGAAGGUAGCAGGCUACCGGCAACAACCAUUAAGUUGCGAAACAAAAGGAAAUGGGAAUAGCCAGCAAGCUAGAGAUCGGGGAUGAGGACGAAGACGAAGACGAAGACGAAGAGCAGCAAUUUGUUGUCGGCAAGCAGCACAACAGAUGACCAAAUCUGUGUAGGCAGCGUGAUUGUGUGUUUGUGUGUGAUUAGGUUUGGAUUAAGAAAUUAGGGCUUGCCAUGUGAAGCCAAAGGGGAGUCCAACACUUAAAUUUUUUUUAUUGGUAUCAAGAUACGGUGUCGUUCC
rnacentral:lncRNA from 1 species